UGCAGUGCUGCUGUGUAUUUCAGUGGAGUGGCCGGCCAGAAAGCGGAUUUCCUCUUAUCUCGAUUCCGCAAAGAAAACGUGACGCUGUCCGAAGGAAGCAAUAGCUUCAUGACAUUGGUCGCAAGGAUUCAUUUCCACAAAGGGUUUAUUGAGCUGAAAAGCAGGAUUCUCCUGAGUCACUAACUAGCUGUUUCCCAGGUCUGUUUGAGGCAGUAAAAAUCAUAGGAAACUUCUGUAGCAACAAACAAGCAGUACUCGCAACUUGCAUUAAUGAAUCCCAACUUGAAGAACCAGCUCGCCUGGUGUAGAGCAGCGGUUAAGAUGAUCGCCUUCGACGCCGAGACUGGAAGGUGAGGCGGGUUCGAAUCCCCACACUGACUGUGCUGUUUGAGGUUUUCCCUGGGUUUUCCGGCAGACUUCCGUGACGAAUGUCGACACAGUUCCUCCUGAAGUCGUCCCAGGACGGCUUCAGUAAUAAAACGUAAUAAAACACGGAAUCAAAAACUUGAAUAAAAUUUGUUCAAAGUG